GAUGAACGCUGGCGGCGUGCCUAAUACAUGCAAGUCGAGCGAACAGACGAGGAGCUUGCUCCUCUGACGUUAGCGGCGGACGGGUGAGUAACACGUGGAUAACCUACCUAUAAGACUGGGAUAACUUCGGGAAACCGGAGCUAAUACCGGAUAAUAUAUUGAACCGCAUGGUUCAAUAGUGAAAGACGGUUUUGCUGUCACUUAUAGAUGGAUCCGCGCCGCAUUAGCUAGUUGGUAAGGUAACGGCUUACCAAGGCGACGAUGCGUAGCCGACCUGAGAGGGUAAUCGGCCACACUGGAACUGAGACACGGUCCAGACUCCUACGGGAGGCAGCAGUAGGGAAUCUUCCGCAAUGGGCGAAAGCCUGACGGAGCAACGCCGCGUGAGUGAUGAAGGUCUUCGGAUCGUAAAACUCUGUUAUUAGGGAAGAACAAAUGUGUAAGUAACUAUGCACGUCUUGACGGUACCUAAUCAGAAAGCCACGGCUAACUACGUG
rnacentral:rRNA from 1 species